CUACGGGGUGCUGCAGUGGGGAAUCUUAGACAAUGGGCGCAAGCCUGAUCUAGCCAUGCCGCGUGAGUGAUGAAGGCCUUAGGGUCGUAAAGCUCUUUCGCUGGGGAAGAUAAUGACGGUACCCAGUAAAGAAACCCCGGCUAACUCCGUGCCAGCAGCCGCGGUAGUACGGAGGGGGUUAGCGUUGUUCGGAAUUACUGGGCGUAAAGCGCGCGUAGGCGGACUGUUAAGUCGGGGGUGAAAUCCCGGGGCUCAACCCCGGAACGGCCUUCGAUACUGGCAGUCUGGAGUUCGAGAGAGGUGAGUGGAAUUCCGAGUGUAGAGGUGAAAUUCGUAGAUAUUCGGAGGAACACCAGUGGCGAAGGCGGCUCACUGGCUCGAUACUGACGCUGAGGUGCGAAAGUGUGGGGAGCAAACAGGAUUAGAUACCCGAGUAGUC
rnacentral:rRNA from 1 species